UACGUAGGCAGCAAGCGUUGUUCGGAGUUACUGGGCGUAAAGGGUGUGUAGGCGGUUGGAUAAGAGUGGUGUGAAAUCUCCCGGCUUAACUGGGAGGGUGCGCUACAGACUGUCUGACUAGAGUGUGGGAUGGGAGAGUGGAAUUCCUGGUGUAGCGGUGAAAUGCGUAGAUAUUAGGAAGAACACCAAAGGCGAAGGCAGCAUCCUGGGAAGUUCCUGACGCUCGGGUGCGAAAGCCAGGGGAGCGAACGGG
rnacentral:rRNA from 1 species